AGAGCGAGCUGGACGAUCGUCGGCCGGUCGGCUACCUCGAUCCCGCAAGGGUUCAGGGCGGCGCGGCGGGAGGAAAGUCCGGGCUCCGCAGCGCACCGUGGUGGGUAACGCCCACCGACCGCAAGGUCCGGGAACAGUGCAACAGAAAGCAAACCGCCGAUCGGGCGACGCAAGUCGUUCGAGGUAAGGGUGAAACGGUGAGGUAAGAGCUCACCAGCGGUUCGGGCGACCGGCCGGCUAGGUAAACCCCACGGGGAGCAAGGCCAAACAGGAAGGAGUUCGCCGCCGCAAGGCAGGUCGGCGACGCGGAUCGGCUCGAUCCGCUCACUUCCGGGUAGGCUGCUUGAGCCGACGAGCAAUCGUCGGCCUAGAAAAAUGAUCGUCGCGCCGCGUUCGCAAGUCCGCGGCGGACAGAACCCGGCUUAUAGGCUCGCUUUGAAC
rnacentral:RNase_P_RNA from 1 species